AUUGAACGCUGGCGGCAGGCCUAACACAUGCAAGUCGAGCGGCAGCGGGAAAGUAGCUUGCUACUUUUGCCGGCGAGCGGCGGACGGGUGAGUAAUGCCUGGGAAAUUGCCCAGUCGAGGGGGAUAACAGUUGGAAACGACUGCUAAUACCGCAUACGCCCUACGGGGGGGGAAAAGCAGGGGACCUUCGGGCCUUGCGCGAUUGGAUAUGCCCAGGUGGGAUUAGCUAGUUGGUGAGGUAAUGGCUCACCAAGGCGACGAUCCCUAGCUGGUCUGAGAGGAUGAUCAGCCACACUGGAACUGAGACACGGUCCAGACUCCUACGGGAGGCAGCAGUGGGGAAUAUUGCACAUGGGGGAAACCCUGAUGCAGCCAUGCCGCGUGUGUGAAGAAGGCCUUCGGGUUGUAAAGCGCUUUCAGCGAGGAGGAAAGGUUGUUGGCUAAUACCCAACAGCUGUGACGUUACUCGCAGAAGAAGCACCGGCUAACUCCGUG
rnacentral:rRNA from 1 species